rnacentral:rRNA from 1 species
GACGAACGCUGGCGGCAUGCCUAAUACAUGCAAGUCGAGCGAACAGAUGAAGUGCUUGCACUUCUGACGUUAGCGGCGAACGGGUGAGUAACACGUAAGGAAUCUACCUAUAAGUGGGGGAUAACAUUCGGAUACGGGUGCUAAUACCGCAUAAUAUCUUCUUCCGCAUGGAAGAAGAUUGAAAGACGGCUCUGCUGUCACUUAUAGAUGACCUUGCGGUGCAUUAGUUAGUUGGUGGGGUAAUGGCCUACCAAGACGAUGAUGCAUAGCCGACCUGAGAGGGUGAUCGGCCACAUUGGGACUGAGACACGGCCCAAACUCCUACGGGAGGCAGCAGUAGGGAAUCUUCCGCAAUGGGCGAAAGCCUGACGGAGCAAUGCCGCGUGAGUGAAGAAGGCCUUCGGGUCGUAAAACUCUGUUAUAAGAGAAGAACAAAUUGUAGAGUAACUGCUACAGUCUUGACGGUAUCUUAUCUGAAAGCCACGGCUAACUACGUGCCAGCCGCCGCGGUAA